rnacentral:lncRNA from 1 species
AUGUAGUUCUGGAAUUCUUUGAUUGGUACCAUAGGAUCACAGUGAUGCUCAGGGACUGUUCCUAUGCCCAUGCCUUUUGGGAGGAAAACAUCCAUGCUGAAGUUCUCAGGUGUCUUGGCAAAAACUAUGCAAGGAAAAUGGUUCAGAGGGUUUUGGACAGAAUGCUGACAGGAUAUCAUGUCUGUCUGAGUCUACAUAUGGGAGGUAAGCCACGUCUAGACAUUUGAGGAUUUUUUUUGAAGUAUAGUUGAUUUACAAUAUUGUGUUAGUUUCAGGUGCACAGCAUAGUGACUCAGUUUUACGUAUUUAGACAUUCUCUUUUUAUAUUCUUUCCAUUAUGGUUUAUCAUGGGAUAUUGAAUAUAGUUCCCUGUGCUAUGCAGUAGGACCUUGUUGUUUAUCCAUUCUGUGUAUCAUAGUUUGCAUCUGCUAGU